rnacentral:rRNA from 1 species
CCCAGACUCCUACGGGAGGCAGCAGUGGGGGAUAUUGCACAAUGGGGGGAACCCUGAUGCAGCGACGCCGCGUGGGCGAUGGAGCGCCUCGGCGCGUAAAGCCCUAUCAGCAGGGAAGAAGAUGACGGUACCUGACUAAGAAGCCCCGGCUAAAUACGUGCCAGCAGCCGCGGUAAUACGUAGGGGGCAAGCGUUAUCCGGAUUUACUGGGUGUAAAGGGGGCGCAGACGGCGAUGCAAGCCAGGAGUGAAAGCCCGGGGCCCAACCCCGGGACUGCUCUUGGAACUGCGUGGCUAGAGUGCAGGAGGGGCAGGCGGAAUUCCUGGUGUAGCGGUGAAAUGCGUAGAUAUCAGGAGGAACACCGGUGGCGAAGGCGGCCUGCUGGACGGCAACUGACGUUGAGGCCCGAAAGCGUGGGGAGCAAACAGGAUUAGAUACCCCCGUACUU